rnacentral:rRNA from 215 species
AAUCAAGUGCCUUAAGGGUGUUCGGUGGAUGCCUUGGCGCUGAGAGGCGAUGAAGGACGUGCUACGCUGCGAUAAGCCGUGGGGAGCUGCGAAGAAGCUUUGAUCCAUGGAUUUCCGAAUGGGGAAACCCACCUUCGAUAGCCGGAACUCCAAGACCUCAGUCGAAAGACUGUGGUGUGGGGUUCGAACAGAAAUGUGAGAUGCCUAGGCCUUUAGAUUUCGAUCGAAGAGGUUUUGGAUUUCCGGUUAUCAAAAGAAGGUAUGAGACUUCUGAAUACAUAGGAGGUUUCAAGCAAACCCAGGGAACUGAAACAUCUAAGUACCUGGAGGAAAGGACAUCAACAGAGACUCCGUUAGUAGUGGCGAGCGAACGCGGACCAGGCC